GGGUCUUAGGAGCCUGAUUAGCUCCAUUCAGGAGUGAAACCUGCCAGAUGUGAUUCUAUUAUUGCUCCUGGCUGUGGGUCUUGGCCUACCGUACCAUAUCAGUUCUCAAAAAAGUCUUAGGUAAGCAGAGUCUGCCAACUGUCCUGUCCUCAACCUGCCUGUGUGUUAGCCCUGCAGCACCCUUUAACCCUUUAUUUCUUCAAGGGUUGAGUCCUGCUUCUACAAGGCUUUAAGCCACUUGAAUCCAGGAGCAGUCACCUAUACUCCAGGGAGAGUACUUGCCGAUGUUUGCCAAACGAAUGAAUGAAUGAGUGCAAUCUACUUGAAAUUUAUUUCAAAAUGAUAUCUCUGUUUCCUUUGCCCUUUUU
rnacentral:lncRNA from 1 species